rnacentral:lncRNA from 1 species
CAGGGACCAACGGCACCAGCAUCACACCUGAGACCUUGUUAGAAAUGCAGAAUUUCAGGCCCCAGCCCAGACCUGGUCCAUUAGAAUCUGGAUUUUAGUAUCAGACAGCUCUAGCAAUGCUGUGUUGUGGACAGAAGUGCCUCUUUCCAACUCCCACUAACCUGGCUUCAUUGGAUAAAAAGCUCUGAUAUGGUUUGGCUGUGUCCCUGCCCAAAUCUCAUCUUGAAUUAUAGCUCCCAUAAUCUCCAUGUGCCAUGCGAGGGACCCCGUGGGACGUAAUUGAAUUAUGGGGGCCGGUUUUUCUUGUGCCGUUCUCAUGAUAGUGAAUAAGUCUCACAAGAUCUGAUGGUUUUAUAAAGGGCAGUUCCCCUGCACAAGCUCUCUUGCCUGCUGCCAUGUAAGACAUGCCUUUGUUCUUCCUUCACCUUCCACCAGCCCUAUGUGAAAUGAAGAUCUGAUCAACAGCCCUGUGUGAAAUGAAGAUCUGAUCAAUUAACCAGGUGAUUAAAUUGAUGAAGAUAGCCAACCAAAGUUAUUCUAACUCUGGAAAGAAAUUUUUUACCACCUUCACGUUCUAAUAGAUGAAUCAAAUGAAUAGCGAUUAUUAUCACAUUAGCAGUAUAAAUGUCUAUGUGAUUUAGUGUUACGAAGACACACACUUCAAUUUUGCCUAGGUAUUUUCAUUAUUCUCUGUACCU